rnacentral:rRNA from 1 species
CAACUUUCAGCGAUGGAUGUCUCGGCUCGAACAACGAUGAAGGGCGCAGCGAAGUGCGAUAAGCAUUGUGAAUUGCAGAAUUUCGAGAAUCGACAGGGACUUGAACGCAUAUUGCGCCUUUGGGAUAUCCCCGAAGGCAUGCCUGCUUCAGUGUCUAU